GCCCUGGAGGACUAGUGGUUAGGCCAUUGCGCUCUCACUGCUAUGGCCCAGGUUUGAUUCCUGGCCAGGGAA
rnacentral:tRNA from 1 species